rnacentral:rRNA from 1 species
UGGGAGAAUUCCUGAAGCAGCAACGCCGCGUGAGGGAUGAAGGGCUUUUGCUUGUAAACCUCUGUAGCGAGAGAAAAAAACUCCAAUCUUUGGAGCAUGAUGGUAUCUCGAAAGUAAGCCCCGGCUAACUACGUGCCAGCAGCCGCGGUAAUACGUAGGGGGCAAACGUUGUCCGGAUUUACUGGGUGUAAAGGGUGCUCAGGCGGUCUUGUAAGUCAGAAGUGAAAUCCUAGAGCUUAACUCUGGAACUGCUUUUGAUACUGCAAGGCUUGAAUAUGGAAGAGGAGGGUGGAAUUUCUGGUGUAGCAGUGAAAUGCGUAGAUAUCAGAAAGAACACCAGUGGCGAAGGCGGCCCUCUGGUCCAUUAUUGACGCUAAAGCACGAAAGCGUGGGGAGCAAACAGGAUUAGAUACCCUGGUAGUCCACGCCUUAAACGAUGAAUACUAGACGUUGGGGUCAAACUCAGUGUCGCAGCUAACGCAUUAAGUAUUCCACCUGGAGAGUACGAU